GUCUUUUUGAAUUUUAUUUAAAGUCUAACCUGCCCACUGAAUCUUUAAAUGGCCGCAGUAUCCUAACUGUGCAAAGGUAGCAUAAUCAUUAGUCUUUUAAUUGAAGGCUGGUAUGAAUGGUUGGACGAAACAUUAACUGUUUCAUAAAAAAUAUAAGAACUUUAUUUUUUAGUCAAAAAGCUAAAAUAUAUUUAAAAGACGAGAAGACCCUAUAAAUCUUUAUAAUUUUUAUUAUUAGGUAAAAAAAGAUUUUUAUUGACUUAAUAAUAAAUAUUAUUUUAUUGGGGUGAUAGUAAAAUUUAAUAAACUUUUACAUAUUAGUUCAUUGAUUUAUGAAUAAAUGAUCCACAUAUUGUGAUUAAAAAUUUAAGUUACUUUAGGGAUAACAGCGUAAUCUUUUUGGAGAGUUCAUAUCGAUAAAAGGGAUUGCGACCUCGAUGUUGGACUAAGGUAUAUCUUAG
rnacentral:rRNA from 1 species